UGAGCGCUUCUGUCUCUCUGGCGGCUACGCACGGCUGUCGCUCUGGAGAGACUGAGGAGGAAACGGGGGUGGGAGGGGAUUGCGACUGCAGUGGGACGCGGGAGCGGCGGAAGCACCGCGCUGGAGCGGUCCGGUGGCGUCGCCGGGCUUCCUUGCCCUCCCUCCGCCCGGCCGGGCUGGCUCGGAUCCCCGGGUCGAGCGCGCUGCUGCGUCACACCAGGCAGCCAGGCCGCCACUGUUGAGCAUCUCCGGCCGCCUCCCACGCCCGGGCGAGUGCACGGCCCGAGCUCCCGAGCCGAAGCGAAAGAAUGCGAGCUCAGGUCCCUCCCUGGAGGGCGGAUUAAAGGAUGCCGCGACGAAUCGCAAAAGAACAAAAGCUCUCCAGGGACGCUGCUGACCUCAUCACUGCCUCCCAUCUUUCCUAGUAGACGCUCAACAUCCUAGACACACAUCUCUUCAGGUAGAGGAAGAUGAGCUGGAGAAGUUGCACUUGCCGGAGUGUUGUGCUAUUUGUUGAAGAGAAGUGA
rnacentral:lncRNA from 1 species